rnacentral:lncRNA from 1 species
GAGUGAUCUAGAGAGUGGACACUUUUGUAGAAUUGUGUAGAAGGUGAUUUGUAUCCAUUAGAUUAAAGUUGUGUUGGAUAAAUCUUGGCUAUUGAUUGAGGAAGUGGCCAAGUAUAAAUAGGUGUAGGAUUGCUCAUUUUGUAUGAAGCCAAAAAAAUCAAAAACAAGUUUGAGUAAUAAAAGUUUCUCUUCUCCAAAAUCUUUCUACUCUUCCAAAAUUCCCUUAGCCUAAAAGC